rnacentral:rRNA from 1 species
UACGUAGGGAGCAAGCGUUGUUCGGAUUUACUGGGCGUAAAGGGCGCGUAGGCGGCGUGUCAAGUCGAUUGUGAAAUCUCCGGGCUUAACUCGGAACGGCCAAUCGAUACUGACGUGCUAGAGUGCAGAAAGGGCAAUCGGAAUUCUUGGUGUAGCGGUGAAAUGCGUAGAUAUCAAGAGGAACACCUGAGGCGAAGGCGGGUUGCUAGGCUGACACUGACGCUGAGUGCGCGAAAGCGUGGGGAGCAAACAGG